rnacentral:misc_RNA from 1 species
UCUUUUCCCUCCUCUUGUUCUCUUUUCUUCUUUUUCUAACCUCUUCUUCUCUCUUUCUUCCCCCCCUCUUUGUUCCAGGAGCGCGUCCCCUUCUUCUUCAGAGUUGAAGAAAACAGAGAACAGGCAAAACAGACAAUCCGCGGAUAUCUUCACGAUCCAGACAUGGGGUCGGAUAACUUUUGUCUAAGAUGGAACGAUUUUGAAUCCAACGUAUCUAGUAGCUUCCGUGAACUACGAGAGGAAAAUGAUCUUUUUGAUGUUACUUUGGUCACGGACUCUGAGAAGGAGUUUAAGGCCCAUAAAGUGAUCCUUUCUGCUUGCUCUUCCUUUUUCAAGGGGAUAUUGAGACGAAUGGGGAGUCCAAGUCCCUUAAUUUACCUCAGAGGUAUCGGCUCUUCUGAUUUAGCCGCUAUUUUGGACUUUAUGUAUAAUGGCGAAGUCAACGUGGCACAGGAAGAGCUCAACUCCUUUCUCUCUGUGGCUGAAGAUCUGCGUAUCAAGGGUUUAACUCAGAAACCCGCCUCAUCCGAAAAUGUGUCUCAAGGCGGAGAGGACGGCGAGAUGCCCCGUAAAAUGGGCUCCAAAUCCAAGUUACUGUCCUCUCAAUCAUCCAGUGGUGCCCCCUCUUCUCCUUCAUCUUCCAAAAAAUUCCGUCGUAUCGCUCCUAAGUCGAGCGAAGACGGAGGAGGUGGAGGAGGAGUCAAAGAGUUAAUUGAUGUAAAAUCCGAGCCGACUAUUGCAUCCAUUGCAGAAGCGUCUGGAGCCGAUUAUGAUGACGGUGGAGACGUAUCAGGUUCCUACGACGAUGCAUAUGCCGACGAAUCCGCGUAUUUCGAUGAAACUGGAAUGAUGGGAUUAGAUGACAUGCCCCAUGAUGCCUCACAAGAUAGUUCCAAAGGUAAGGUGAUGAGAAUACCUGGAAAAGGAGGCAAGUGUUUAGUUUGCGAUAGAGUCUUCAGUAAUUUUAGUAAUGCUCGUCGCCACUAUGAAACCACUCAUAAUUAUAGCGUACAACCUGAGACAUGUGAUAUUUGCUUUGCAUCCUAUAAAAACAAAGAGUCAGUUGGGGCUCAUAAACGAAAAGCUCACAAAAUAUAUAAAUCCAAAAUUAUCUAUUCCUAAAUCAAAUGUACAUUAAUCUUGUAUAUGGUAAUGAUCAAUAAAGGCAUGUACGCACGCACGCACGCUCGCUCGCAUUCAGCAGCUGCUAAGCAGAGCAAACCAAAGCAGGAGGAAGCCACCAGCAUCUUGAAUGUGUUACUUAUAAUAUCUCCAUUGCAUUUUCUAUUUUUAUUUAUUCGAACCAUUCAGUCACCAUGGCCUUGGCACACAUGUUAUUAAGGGUGUCUGUCUGGCUGUGAAUGGCUUGUCUCUCUGCUUGCUAUUUGCUGCUGCACUCCGUCGUCGUGCCUUUGUAUAAUCAUUCAAUAAAUCUUCGAAAAUCCAUAACUACCUAAUAUAAUUCGCGAUAUUACAUACUUAUUAUAUUUGAAUGAAUAUCAGAUGACUUCUUUCUUUCUCUUCUAAUCAAUGAACUAUAUGACCUCUUACCAUUACCUUCAUACUUUGUAAUACGUUGUUGUAGUAUGAUUUAAUACUACAUGGCUUAAUAAUACUAGUGAAUAUGUAUCAAUAUACAAUCAAACCUUAAAAACAGAAACAUAAGGAAGAAGAGACAAAAAAUUACUAAUUAUAGCGCUUCAAUAAACAAUUU